rnacentral:misc_RNA from 1 species
ACUUCAGAUUCCAUGGCUGCUUUGUCUAUAAUUGGAUCCCACAAUUCCAGAAAACGUAUAGCAUAUCUGUCAAUAGGACGGAGCUGAUUCUCUAAAGUUAAGAUAGCUUGUCCAGCAGCUUCUGCUGCUGCAGCCAUCUGUUUGACAUCAGCCAGCAUGUCAACAUCAUCUUCAUUGGCAGCAAAAGUUAGAGUUUUUUCUUCAAUAGGAUCCUUUAUAUUUACAUUCACACCACCGUCUUUAGUUUGAGUUGUCAUAUCCUGAUCAGUGGGCUCAUCAGUCUUCGUAUCAUCAUCAUUAACAAGCUCGUCAUCUUCCAAUCUCCCAAUGGCUUCCGUAAACUCCUGGUUAUCCACAGCUUCUUCCUG